CGUAGUUAGGGUGUUAAGUAUUUUUUCUAGAGUAUCUUCCUCUACUAUAUCAGUCUGUGUAGCUUUGUCUUGAUAUGUAAUCUGCAAUGACAUUUUUGUUAGUACUAAUCACUUCAAUUGUAAAUGUGAAAUUUAAUAUAUUUAAAACUAGUCUUCGAAUCUCUUUUGUUGUAACUGAAUUUUGUAUUUUCUUUGUUAGCCACCAACGUACCUGUGUAUUAUCUGUUCGUACAAUAAAUUUGUUAUAUACAAUAUAUGGCUCAAAUGAUAAUAAACACUUAUAUAAUGAACAUAACUCUUUUCUAUUUAUUUCCCAUUUUAUUUCUGUUUCGUUGAACGUACCUGAGUAAUAUCUACAAUGAUGUUCUAUUUUUUCUGCUUCAUAUCGAUAUUUAAGUACUCCUCCGUAACUAUAUUCACUUGCAUCUGCUUCUACUAUAUAUAUAAAUUUUCUAUUUUCAUCUGGAAAUUGCAAUUUUGGUAAUUCUCUACAAAGUAAUUUUAUUUUUUGAACUUGUUUUUUAUCUUUUUCAUCAUAAUUAUAUUCUAUAUCCUUUUUUAAUUUUUUCUGCAGUGGUUUUAAGGUUUCUGCUAAUUUUGGAAUAUAUUCUCUUACUUGGUUUACUAAUCCUAAAAAUGAUUGUAAUUUCUUUUUUGUAUCUAAUUCUUCUUUCGAAUUUAUUAUUUUUUGUACUAUAUGUUGUUGCAUUUUUACUCCACUUUUAUCUAUUUGUAUUCCUAAAAAUUCUAUCUGGUUUUUCAUAAUUUCAGCUUUCUUUUUGCUUAGACUUAUUCCUGAUUUUUCUAUUAUAUCUGUUUAAAAUUAUUUUGUAGCUGUUUGUUUUAGUCUUAGUAGUUUUUGCAUAUUUUUAUUGAGAAAUUUUAUAUCUUUGUUUUCCAUGUGUUUAUUUUUUUUUUAUUUUUUAUUUUUUCUAGUAACUACAAAGUUUUUUUUUUUAUCUUUUUUCUAAAAUUUUAUGUAACUUAUUACCUUAAGUAUUUAUAAGAGUAGUUAGGUAUUUGUGGUAUAUAGCUUAUUCUAGACGUAUAAUUUUCACCAAAAGCUUUUUCUAAUAUUAUUUUUCUUAUAUCUGCUACUUUUAUAUUUCUAAGUGCAUACAAAAUAAGUAUCUUGAAUUUAUCUACCAUCACAUCAGAUAUAUUAUCAUUCAUUUUUCAUAAAUUUGCUUUUUUCAAAAUAUUCCCUUCAAUCACGUACACAACAAAAUAUGGUCAUAUUGGCUUACUAUAUACUAGAUUAUUCUUAAAUAAUAUGUUCUUCCGUCACUAUUAACAUGGUAAUCUGGAUACUUUUUCCCUUAAACAGCGCCUCUACUCUGGUUACUCCCCGCCACGGCUUCUUGCCUCAUUGGUUUCACCUUUAGGAUGGCAUAGUCCUUAGGGAUAUUUCUCCGUUUCCUCUUUGUUAAUAAACUUCUUAACAUAUUAUUCUUCGAAUAAUUCUACUAUAAAGUAACUAAUAUGAAUUUAUUUUAUCAUAUCAUGAUUGUUGGGAAUUAUGAAAUUAGCUAUUCAUAAUUAUAAAUAGAUAUACCUGUUCCGGUAGCUUUGAUGUUUCUGAGUUUUGUUGUUCCUGUUGUUCCAUAGCUUUUUCCAUUGGAGUAUAUUUUUCUAAUUAACUGAGUAAAUUUUUUGUUUGUGGAAUGGAGAGAGAGAUUUGUUUCAAAAGAAGGUUUGCGGCUUGCGGCCUGCUUUCCGCAAUACCCCUGCCUUUGUAUUUAUAGAAUGCUUUUUACAUAUCUGCCAAUUCUACAAAGUAAUGAAAAUUUAAAACAGUGGGGCCUAUCCCACCUAACUUAUCCUAAAUUCCUAAGUUACUUUACACGUAAAGCUUUACAUUCAAUUUUCUAAAACUUAAGAAAGUAAAAUGUCAACUAUAGUGGCUACAAAAAGGNNN
rnacentral:lncRNA from 1 species